rnacentral:lncRNA from 1 species
UUUUUCUUAUUUUGUUUACCCUUUAAAAAUAAAACAAAAAUAAGUGGCGACUCCAAGUAUUUCCUAAAAAAAAAAAAAUCAAAUUUUCACCAAAUAAAUAAAAAAGCCAGUUUCGCCAUCGAGUGGGAAAGCAUCGAGCAAAAAUACGGGGUCCACACCUCUAUUUAUAAAAAUUACUUUUGAAAAAAAUGUAUGAUCACCUCUAAGAUAAUGG